rnacentral:lncRNA from 1 species
UGUGAGAUAGGGUGACUGCCUGACUAGGUGAGGGUCAGAGAGAGAGAGAGAGAGGGAAAAAAAUUGGGGAUUUGAGAAUUUGAAUGUUAUCAUGUUUUAGGGUUAUGUGCAAUAGUAAAAGUCUGAAAGAGAGAGUGUGUUAUGUAAAUUUAGAGUUGGGCUCAAUUGCACAGUUGUACUUGUUGGGUUUAUUUUAUGGGCCAGCAAUAAUGGCCCAAAUUAAAUUAAAGCCUAUAUAUAAUUAAAAUACAUU